GACGAAGGUGACAAGCGUUGUUCGGUAUCACUGGGCUUAAAGCGUGUGUAGGCGGAAAGGUAAGCGUUUUGUGAAAGCCCCCGGCUCAACCGGGGAAUUGCUUGACGAACUCCCUUUCUUGAGGCAAGUAGGGGUGCACGGAACUCUUGGUGGAGCGGUGAAAUGCGUAGAUAUCAAGAGGAACGCCGGUGGAGAAAUCGGUGCACUGGGCUUGUUCUGACGCUGAGACACGAAAGCGUGGGAGCGAACGGGAUUAGAUACCCCGGUAGUCCACGCCGUAAACGAUGUCUACUAGGUUGUGGAGGUUCUGACACUUGCACGGCCGAAGCAAAAGUGCUAAGUAGACCGCCUGGGGAGUACGGCCGCAAGGCUAAAACUCAAAGGAAUUGACGGGGGCUCACACAAGCGGUGGAGCAUGUGGAUUAAUUCGAAGCAACGCGCAGAACCUUACCUGGGUUUGACAUGCUUGGAUGGCCGGCUGGAAACAGCUUGGCCUGCCCUUCGGGGUGAAACGAGCACAGGUGCUGCAUGGCUGUCGUCAGCUCGUGUCGUGAGAUGUCGGGUUAAGUCCUUUAACGAGCGAAACCCUUGCCGUUAGUUGCCAGCGGGUCAUGCCGGGGACUCUAACGGGACCGCCGGUGUCAAACCGGAGGAAGGUGGGGAUGACGUCAAGUCAUCAUGGCCUUUAUGCCCAGGGCGUCACACGUGCUACAAUGGCGGCCACAAAGCGAAGCAAGACCGUGAGGUGGAGCUAAUCGCAAAAAUGUCGCCCCAGUUCGGAUUGCAGGCUGCAAUUCGCCUGCAUGAAGUCGGAAUCGCUAGUAAUCGCGUAUCAGCCAUGACGCGGUGAAUGUGUUCCUGAGCCU
rnacentral:rRNA from 1 species